rnacentral:tRNA from 1 species
AGAGUGUUAGUUUAUAUUGAAUGUUGGAUUGUAGACCCAGAGGUUUAACUUUGUU